UGACCUCAGAUCAGGCAAGGCUACCCGCUGAAUUUAAGCAUAUUAAUAAGCGGAGGAAAAGAAACUAACAAGGAUUCCCCUAGUAAUGGCGAAUGAAGCGGGAACAGCUCAAAUUUAAAAUCUCCGUUGCUUGCAACGGCGAAUUGUAGUUUCGAGAAGCACUUUCUCGGCGGAUCCGAGGUCGUCCAAGUUGCUUGGAACAGCACGUCGUAGAGGGUGACAACCCCGUCUGCGGCGAUCUCGGCCGUUCACGAUGUGCUUUCGACGAGUCGGGUUGUUUGGGAAUGCAGCCCAAAAUGGGUGGUAAACUCCAUCUAAAGCUAAAUAUUGGCACGAGACCGAUAGCGAACAAGUACCGUGAGGGAAAGAUGAAAAGCACUUUGAAAAGAGAGUUAAAAAGUACGUGAAACCGUUAAAAGGGAAACGAAUGGGGUUAGCAAUGCGUCGUGCGAGAUUCAGCCGGUGGGUGGGCCAGGCGGGCGGUUGGCGGAUCUGAAUGGACCGCUGCCGUUCGGGUUGGUUUCCGACCGUCGCACUUCU
rnacentral:ncRNA from 1 species